AUUGGCCUUGCUGCCCUACCUGACCCCACCAGCUGCCUUGUACCUUCCCCUGGGAUUGGAUCUCCUGGUGAUUGGACCCUUUGUAUGAACUCUGAUCACUGUCUGCCCUGUGACCUGCCUGAUUCCUGGGCAUUACAGUGACUCCAUUGACUUCAGUUCAAUUACUUACAAUUUAUACACAUGUGACUGAGAAGAGAUUCAGGCCCCUGGUGCUUUGACUGCUGCUGGAAGGAUCACAGAAUUCCAGACAUUGGAGUGCAGUGAGCAUUGAUCAAGAGUGGUGGGAGAGACAGACUCCAGAGAAGGCCCUGGACAGUAGUGACUGAAGAAAGGCAUUCUGAUUGGGAAUCCCUGGCUGCACUAAUGACCACUCAGAGGCCCUGACCAGCUGGCCCAAUUUAAAGCAGCCCUGAGAAUUGGCCAGCUGAACAUCUGGGGUGAGCUAUCACUGCCACUUUCUUAAAGAAGUUAAUCAGCUUAUCUCAACUCUUUUUAGGAAAAGGAAAAGAAAGGAAGAAAAAUAGAACAGCAGCACAACAGUAGAAAUCAG